GGCUCAAAGUGAGGCCCUAGGCAAGUUCACCUCCCUGAGAGUUUUCAUACCUGAAACAGAGUUGUUUGAAUAAUGUAGGUUAAAGGACCUGGAAUAUAGUAUGUAGGUGCUCAAUAACUACAUGUUUGUAAUGUGUAUUACUAAUAUGUAUUAACAUGAGUAUAUACUAACAGCAGUUAUUUUUGUGUUCUGAGAAAUUAAGAUCCCAAGGGAAAAUAAAUUAAUAAUUUUUACUGAGUUAUAUACUUCUGAAAUCACAGUGUUCUUUUUCUCAAUGUCACAGAUUUACAUUGUGCCAUACCCCUCCCCUUCAGUCCUUGAAAGGAUCAAGUCAUCCUUUGAUAUGACCUCUUUAUUUUUCUGCAUUAUCUUUUAUUACUCUGUUCUGUUGUGCCACAGGAUGCAUUGCUAAAAACACUACUGUAAGUAUUAUGCUUUGGGGUUAUAAAUUGAGGAUAUAAUGUCCAUUUUUGUUCAUGUGAAAAUAAUGAUAUUGACCUUGGAGGCAAAUGAUCUCGUUGCACAUAAAUUACUGUGUCCUGUGUUAUUUGCUGCCAAAUAAUUUUCAACAGUUGUCAAUGCCCUUGUUUCUGAAAUUGAUUUUAAAAUAAAACAAGCAUGAAUUUAGAAA
rnacentral:lncRNA from 1 species